ensembl:lncRNA
GGUUGAAAACACAUGAAGGCUGUGUUCUGCGAGUGGGCAUCUUUUGUGGGUGUCUGUCCAGCUUCCCUUUCCUUCACUUUCCCACUGGGGCCACUCUCCCCCUAUUCUUAGCCUGGGCUAGUGGUGGGCAUAGGAUCCAGUGCUGGACAAUCAGACAUUUGCAUCUUCUUAAUCAUAAUCAUUGAUUAAGAAAUCAGUACAGGCCACAAGCGGAUCCAGUUUACACACCUGGAGCUAUCUUUUCACUAUUUGUGCGAACCCCUGUCCCUCAUUCCCCUCAGUAUCCCUUCUAUGUUUUAUUCAGGACCAGAAAUUGUAGUUCUUUAGAGGACCACCCUUGAACUUCCCCAGCCACAGAGAACUGAAAUGUCCAGAAUUUAUAUCUCCCCUUCCAUUAUUUUAUUUGUUGGUUUAUUUUUUAUACUUUUAACCAGUUAAAAAAGUUAAAAGGUAUUAUUCAUUUACCAUAUACUUCACCCAAUUAUAAGACAAUUCAUUGUUUUUUUUUUUGUCUAUUCACAGAUACGUGGAGCCACAAAUAUAGUCAAUUUUAGAGCAGUUUCAUCCCUAAGCAACUACUAAUCUACUUUCUGUCUCUACAAAUUUUCCUUUUCUGAACAUUUCAUAUAACUUGGAUCACCUAAUAUGUGGUAUCUUGGAACUGACUUACUCAGCAUAAUAUUUUCAAGGUUCAUCCAUGCUCUGACAUCUCAAUCCUUCAUGGCCCCAUUGACAGAACCUCUGCCUUCAUCUACUUGGAGCUGGACUGGCUUGUGUCUGGGUUGUUUGACAGAACAGAGCAGAAGUGAUGCUGCUCAUUCCUGGACUUAGACUUCAAGAGCCUAAGAGGACUGACAGUUCCCACCUUUUGAUUCAUUAUGUGAGAUAUCCAAGUGGUGGUUAGAAUCUUAUCCAGCCUCUUGGUUUUCAAUGUUUUUCAGACCAAUGCAGUUUUAUUUUUCUACAAAAAAGUUUUUUUCUGAUUGUAAAUUAGUUUCUUGAAGAAAAUCUGGAAAAUACAAAAAAAGUGAGAUAAUAAAAAUCACUGGUAAUAUACUUCUUAGUGAUAAACACUACUAACAUUUUGGGAUAUAUUCUUGCAGUUUUGCCUUUGCAACUAAAUCUGUAUCUAGCCAUCAUUUAUCUGUCAAUCAAUUUAUCUUUAUGUAUUUUAUCAAAAAUGUUUGGCUUGAUUUAUAUGUACUUUUCCUAAACUCUGUCAAGUUCCUGACUACAACUGUUCUUCUCCUAUUCUUAGCAGCUUGAGACACUGUGACAAGGUAUUAGAAGGUGUUUGAGUUGAAGAAUUAUUUAUUAAGAAUGAAAGCAUGAAAGAGGAAAGAGAGAACAAGAGCCACAGUUUCCUUUUUAAGAAUAAAAUGUCCAGUCCUUAGCAAAUCCAGUGUCUCCAUCUUUUUAUUCUCAAUGCUGGGUUUCUUAUUUUCCAAGAACCCAUUUUUGUUAAGGGAAUGGAGGGUAUGAGCUACAAAAGAACUUCUCCCCAUGAAAGCACCUAUUCAGCAGAUGCUCCAUUUCCUAAAACCCUUCAUCUAGUUAAAUAAAUGACAGCCAGCAUAGACCUGCAAGUUUCCAAUGAUGAAACUUUUUAAGAUAAUGAGUUCUGCUUCAGGUAGUACCAGGUGAAAUAAAAUCACAGAACACUAUUCUCAAAAGUUGACUGCAAAGGCUGGGGUUAAUUGCAUGAAAGGUGAUGGAGCUGCUGGAGUAGAACAGGUCAGAAUGCACUGGCUGGCAUGGAUGCUAGAUGCCCUGUCUAGAGGUCCCAGGGAGGAGAAUGGCUAAUACCUCAGUAACAUAUAGUAAGUAAAGCCCACCAAUCAUUUGUAGCUCCAGAGUUACACAAAAUAAAUCCUUGGAUAAAGCAUCUGCUCUAUGAGGAUGAUGAGAAGGUGAGCACAAACCAAAGGAAAGGAUACUCUGACAAGCUCAAACUAUUGUAGCUAUGAAGAAUCA